GACGAACCGUGCAAACGUUGUUCGGAAUCACUGGGCUUAAAGGGCGCGUAGGCGGGCCAGCCAGUCUGUGGUGAAAGCCUCCAGCUUAACUGGAGAAGUGCCGUGGAUACUGCUGGCCUCGAGGAGGAUAGGGGCAUCUGGAACGGUCGGUGGAGCGGUGAAAUGCGUUGAUAUCGACCGGAACUCCGGUGGCGAAGGCGGGUCUCUGGACAGUUCCUGACGCUGAGGCACGAAGGUCAGGGGAGCAAACGGG
rnacentral:rRNA from 1 species